UGGGGGAUAUUGCGCAAUGGGGGAAACCCUGACGCAGCAACGCCGCGUGAAGGAUGAAGGUCUUCGGAUUGUAAACUUCUUUUAUUAAGGACGAAGAAAGUGACGGUACUUAAUGAAUAAGCUCCGGCUAACUACGUGCCAGCAGCCGCGGUAAUACGUAGGGAGCAAGCGUUGUCCGGAUUUACUGGGUGUAAAGGGCGUGUAGGCGGAGCUGCAAGUCAGAUGUGAAAUCUCCGGGCUUAACCCGGAAACUGCAUUUGAAACUGUAGCCCUUGAGUAUCGGAGAGGCAAGCGGAAUUCCUAGUGUAGCGGUGGAAUGCGUAGAUAUCGGGAGGAACACCAGUGGCGAAGGCGGCCUACUGGGCACCAACUGACGCUGAGGCUCGAAAGUGUGGGUAGCAAACAGGAUUAGAUACCCUGGUAGUCCACACUGUAAACGAUGAUUACUAGGUGUUGGAGGAUUGACCCCUUCAGUGCCGCAGUUAACACAAUAAGUAAUCCACCUGGGGAGUACGACCGCAAGGUUGAAACUCAAAGGAAUUGACGGGGGCCCGCACAAGCAGUGGAGUAUGUGGUUUAAUUCGACGCAACGCGAAGAACCUUACCAAGUCUUGACAUCCUGCGACGGACAUAGAAAUAUGUUUUUCCUUCGGGACGCAGAGACAGGUGGUGCAUGGUUGUCGUCAGCUCGUGUCGUGAGAUGUUGGGUUAAGUCCCGCAACGAGCGCAACCCUUAUGGUCAGUUACUACGCAAGAGGACUCUGGCCAGACUGCCGUUGACAAAACGGAGGAAGGUGGGGAUGACGUCAAAUCAUCAUGCCCUUUAUGACUUGGGCUACACACGUACUACAAUGGCGUUAAACAAAGAGAAGCAAGACCGCGAGGUGGAGCAAAACUCAGAAACAACGUCCCAGUUCGGACUGCAGGCUGCAACUCGCCUGCACGAAGUCGGAAUUGCUAGUAAUCGCAGAUCAGCAUGCUGCGGUGAAUACGUUCCC
rnacentral:rRNA from 1 species